GAAGGGAGCUUGCUCCCGGAUGUUAGCGGCGGACGGGUGAGUAACACGUGGGUAACCUGCCUGUAAGACUGGGAUAACUCCGGGAAACCGGAGCUAAUACCGGAUAGUUCCUUGAACCGCAUGGUUCAAGGAUGAAAGACGGUUUCGGCUGUCACUUACAGAUGGACCCGCGGCGCAUUAGCUAGUUGGUGAGGUAACGGCUCACCAAGGCGACGAUGCGUAGCCGACCUGAGAGGGUGAUCGGCCACACUGGGACUGAGACACGGCCCAGACUCCUACGGGAGGCAGCAGUAGGGAAUCUUCCGCAAUGGACGAAAGUCUGACGGAGCAACGCCGCGUGAGUGAUGAAGGUUUUCGGAUCGUAAAGCUCUGUUGUUAGGGAAGAACAAGUGCAAGAGUAACUGCUUGCACCUUGACGGUACCUAACCAGAAAGCCACGGCUAACUACGUGCCAGCAGCCGCGGUAAUACGUAGGUGGCAAGCGUUGUCCGGAAUUAUUGGGCGUAAAGGGCUCGCAGGCGGUUUCUUAAGUCUGAUGUGAAAGCCCCCGGCUCAACCGGGGAGGGUCAUUGGAAACUGGGAAACUUGAGUGCAGAAGAGGAGAGUGGAAUUCCACGUGUAGCGGUGAAAUGCGUAGAGAUGUGGAGGAACACCAGUGGCGAAGGCGACUCUCUGGUCUGUAACUGACGCUGAGGAGCGAAAGCGUGGGGAGCGAACAGGAUUAGAUACCCUGGUAGUCCACGCCGUAAACGAUGAGUGCUAAGUGUUAGGGGGUUUCCGCCCCUUAGUGCUGCAGCUAACGCAUUAAGCACUCCGCCUGGGGAGUACGGUCGCAAGACUGAAACUCAAAGGAAUUGACGGGGGCCCGCACAAGCGGUGGAGCAUGUGGUUUAAUUCGAAGCAACGCGAAGAACCUUACCAGGUCUUGACAUCCUCUGACAACCCUAGAGAUAGGGCUUUCCCUUCGGGGACAGAGUGACAGGUGGUGCAUGGUUGUCCUCAGCUCGUGUCCUGAGAUGUUGGGUUAAUUCCCCAACGAGGGAACCC
rnacentral:rRNA from 1 species